CUUCUACAUCCGUUAUGGAAUUUUGAGUUACACUAGAAUCAACCAUAUUACUCUUUGCUAGUCUCUGGUUUAAUCGGGUGUCAACAUACAUUAUAUCCAUUUCCACAAACGACAGAAAUUUCAAGGCUCCCAUUCUUGGAUUCUUAACUAUCUCCACCUAACCAUCUUCACCUUUUGUUUGACUCAACUUAUCAUUUGAGUCUGAGGCUAAAGAGGCCUAAAAGACAUUUGAGGUAGUUCGAUUCAAACAUUCUCUAGUUAGAUGAGGUCCCUUACAUAUGAAACAACUGAGAGGACAAUUUGGUGCGUUCUGAUUAUUAGGUCCUCGCCAUAUGCUUUCCGUGUUGGAUUUAAAAGGCUUGUGGUCUCUUCCAAGACGUUUGUCUCUACUGGCAGCUUUGCGAGAACUCAGCCGAUUACUCUUGUUUUCUCAUGAUGAGGAAUUUGGUGACAUCUUACAUCUUGAGAUCACUAGACAGAUCAAACAACUGUUCCACUACUGCAUAGGUCAAUGUGAGGUCUUGAACCCUUUGUUCAUAUAACUUAGUCUUUGCCCACGAUUUCAGCCCUUCGACGAAAGAGAAGACUUUGUCUUUUUCUAACAUAUCACAUAUGUCUAACAUCAGUCCGCAAAUUGCUUCACACACUCCCUAAUGUUGUCAGUGUGUUUUAAUUCAUGCAGUUUCUACCAAGCCAGGAUUUCGACGUUCUCGAGGAAAAACUGCAAGCGUAGUUCUUUAUAGUGUUCUAGGUGUCUAUCGUGCAACACCCUUCUUGAAUAUCAACAUAUAGAAAUCUCCACCAUAACUUGCAUCUUCAGACAUAUACAUAGUCGUCAACGUCACUUUGGCCUAUUAUGUAACUGUAGUACUUGUGGCCUUGAAAUACUACCCGAGAUCAAAGAUGAAAUUCUCUCACGCCUUUGCAUCCUUUGCCCCACAUAAGGGCUUGGGUUCCGAAAUCUUUAUUCUACUAAUCGGGAUUGCUCCUUCAAUUGGAGCUUGAUUUGUCACUGCCCGCAUCGUGAGGUUCACCUCUGCGAAUUCAUUCUUAAUGACAUCGAGGAUAGCUAAAAAAUCCUUUGAUAUGUCGUUUAUCAUUUCCAAAAUCGUCUUUUGACAACUAUCUAGCUCAACAAAACGCUCUUCUGUAUGGAAAACGAAUCCCGUCGAACUGUCCUCAUGCUCGUAGGUAAAGUUUCCAAUUCUUGUCAACGCUUGUAUGGGUAAUUCGUUGAAACAACCGAUCACCGCAUUAAUAGCAUUGGCUUUCUCAGAAAUUUCUUCAAGUCGGGACUCCAAGAAAUGGAUGGACUUAGGAACUUCCACUAGGUAGAGCAUGUGCUCUUAAAGCUCUACUAGUCGAUCUACAUGGGCGUUGCUCGAUUGUUUCGUGGUAGACAUCUUUUUGUUUUAGCUGUCAAU
rnacentral:lncRNA from 1 species